CCACUUAUUGCAUGCGCAGACACCAAGGAAGAUUCAUUUUUAUUGCGUGCGCAGACACCAGAGAAGAUUCAUUUUUUCAACAAUACCACAGCAGUACAAUCCUAAAUUGUGUUCCCGUCAUUUUACUGAUGACUGCUUCUCAAACCGCAGGGAGUUUAACACAGGAUUCACAAAUUGCUUGGUCUUAAAAUAUGGAUCAAUGCCCAGUUUAUUUGGACCUGCUUGCUCCUCUGAAUCUCAACCUGUGGCAGUAGCUGAACAGCCAAUCAGAAUGAUCAGAUGGCCAGAUGGACCGACGAGCUCCGCACGUGAUUAAGUUACCCGUUAUGCUUUCUCCAAUGUGAGGAAUUACCAACUCCCACUCUAUCCCACCCGGUAUCUUCAUCAUCAUCACUGUUUCUGAACAAUACUAAUGACUGUAUGGACUGUCUUACUCACCGUCAUUCCGUUGAGAUCCUUACCACCUCCAUCACCCCAGAGCUCAUCCAGUCCUCCAGCCACGCCGCUGCCAGAUGUCCACAGCCCUGCGGCAUCUCCGUGGAAGCCCCGCUCAGUUAGAAGACUCCCUUUGGGUGGUGUCUCUUCAAGAUAUCUGAUAACCCAGUCCUCUCCCCCCAAAACAGGUGUUGGUGUAGUAAAUAUUUACAAUCCUUUUGGGUAACACUUUAGAAUACUGUUUCUUACUUACUGUAUGACUAAUAAGGAAUUACUGAAGAACUAAUUGUUAAUUCUUCAUUAACACUUAAGUCACUACUGUUGACUACUAAGGAAGAUGUGUUAACUAAUCAGUAUGUAAUAGAAUUUUAUGAUUUUGUUAAGUAACAGUUAGCUAAUCAAUAACUAAUGAAUUCUGUCAUACCUCCUGAAGAACUACUAUUAAUUAUCUAUUAAGGUUCAAGAAAAAUAACUAUGUAGCACCCCAUUGAAACAUGGUGGAUGAGAACUGGAUUCUGUAACCUUUUCUAUAAUGUGCAGGACCCAUUGAGAUAUAUCUGCCAGAAAAUCUACUAAGGGUACCAGCCUCUCAAGGUUGGCCUCUGGUGUACUCAGAGCAGCCACUUCAGUGACCUGAAGCGAACUGGCAGGAAACACCCAAAUUGACUGCUUUUUGACCCUCCUCAGAGGGUGCACCGCUGACGCAGUUUCUUGUGUUUGACUUUGAGUCAGAGGUUCAGAGGGUGCACAGAGGGUGGCGGGGUUGGCAGAACGGCCCCCGAGGGCACCGUAUAAUGAGGUGUACACCACUCCACCCUAGAGGGGGCUGCCCUCAGAAGUCUGACACUGAUGGCGUCAGGACUUCUUUUAAGCCGAAGCCUUCUUCGCGAGAAGAACGUUCCACAGAUCCGUCUUCUGCUUAGGAAGCUUCUGCGGAGAGUGUCGUCCUGUGCCCCACGGUUUUUAAGGGGGGGCACGAUUUUGGUGAGCCCUGUGUGAGGAGCUAUAUGGCUGGGGCUGCUCAUGCCCAGUAGCCCCAGAGGGUUGGGGACGGUUGAACGCUUCCGCCUGUUUACUGAAACCUCUCGACAAAAUUAUUUACUGCGUCGCCGAAAAGGCCAGGUGGUGAAAGCAGAGCAUCAAGGAGAAUAUACUUGUCUUUAUCCUUAAUAUCUGACAGGUUCAGCCAGAGAUGCCUCACAGUGGCCACUAGGGCUGCCAUAGACCGCCCAAUAGCUCUAGCGGUCUCCUUUGUAGCACUGAGAGACAAAUCUGUAGCCUGACGCAGUUCUCAAAUCAUGUCAGGCCCCACCCCUCGCCAUCAUCCAAGUCCCUCAGCGGGUUAGCCUGAUACGCCUGCAAGAUAGACAUAGUAUGCAUAGUGUGGCAGACCUACCGCCGUAUACGCUUUACCCACUAGCGUUGAUGUUUUUAGAGGCUUAGUGGGAAGCAUCAGGACCUUCAGGGAUGAUCCUGAACUAGGUGAAAGAUAGCUAGCAAGCCUCUGCUCAAUCCUAGGCAACGACCCAUAACUGUUCUCUUUCAACCCCCUUAUAUCUGAAUAUAUUUGCACUUGGGGGCUGAAAACACAUGAUGAGAAAGUUUUAUUCCAUGAUCUAAAUAUUCCACUGUGUAAAUCUGGGGAAAAGGGAAGGCCCUGUGGUGGAGGUGUAGUGCUUGGUGACAAGAAAUGCUCAUCUAGUUUGCUUUUUGAAUGAGCGCCAAUAUUCUCGGCUGGCCAUUCAAUAUUUAACUUAGACACAGCGUGAGUAAUCACCUUCACCAGCUCCUCAUACACUGGUCCUCAAUUCUCAUAAUAUAUAACCCCUCAUAGUCAGAUAAACGAAGUACCUGGCUCUCCCCCUGGGCGGAAGAAGCUGCAGAGCAGGCUCCAAUUCCAGCGAGAGAGUGUUGGAUCCCGUGGGUAAAGGUAGAGAAAAGGCAGAGCCCGUCGCUAACCCCUCCGCGAGAUCCUUUUGAAAAAACCCCACAAUCUCAGCUUCCGUGCUGCCUUGGCAGCAGCAGGGCCAGAACCGUGAGGAACACUAACCUGAAUACCCUCCUCAAAGAGUGACAGGUGGGAGCGGAGUGUGUGAAGCGGCAGCCUCUCACAAUGCUCACAGUCAGCCCCCUCAAAGGCUGACAGGGCAUGGUCCACUCCCAAACACAUAACACACAAGUCGUGUGUAUCCCCACGCAUUAGGAAACAAGGGCAGGGAGGAACACACUGCUUGAAUGUUUGCUUAUUCGCCAUUCUUACAAAUCUGAUUGUGCUGUACUAGAUCGGGACAGAAAACAAUAAAUAAGACAAACAGUAUGACACAGAACGCUUACUGAGGCACAGAAGCUAAUGCGAGCUAUUCCGGGCUAUUCCGGAAGUGCUUUUAUGCUUUCCUGGUCAUGACCUCACUGGAUGACCUCACUGGUUCACUCUCGCCAUUAGACUAGUUGACACACGUGCUUCAGGCGCAAUAACGCAGAUGCGUUCCCAAAGCGUCAUCGUUGCAGCGCGAAUUCCUUCGAAAGGGAACUGAAUGUUUUCAAUACACUCCAAUGGCUCAUAGCCCCAAUAUCUCAGAACAAUAAUACAAUAUGCGAGCAACUAUGAGGUUGAACAAAUACAAAGCUUGAUUACAGCUAAUUUUAUGCUUACGGAUAAACCUUAGUAAAGAAAGCAUUGCUUUCUUAUCUUGGCUUGCUAAAUGUUGUCUGCGUUCCACCAUGACAGUUUUGGUGUAAACCACAUAUAACAAUUAACCACUUCAAUCUGCUCACCAGCAAAAUUUUCAUUCUUAUUUAAAGAGUCCCCUCUUCUAAAAACCGUAACUUUUGUUUUACUCAAAUCCACCAAUACCGUAAAGGCUAACAAAUAUUUCCCGCUGUUCAAUUUCCUUCUGUAACCCUCCAAUUGUAUCUGAUAUAUUAGCCAUAUCAUCAGCGUAUAACAAGGUGUCACAGAUGGUGUUGGGUUUUGUUUAAUGUUUAUAGUUUCAUGUCUCUUAUUUUGUAAUGUUCUUUGCUAUGUUAGUGGUUUGCCAUGUGCUCACUUGCCAUGUGUCUCCCUUGUUUAUGUUCUAGUCAUGUCUCAUUAGGUGUGUUUGACAUAGGCUGCGGCUGGAUAUAACCGAUCGGCGAGAGUAGCCGCGUGCAGGCGGGGAGGAGCUGAAAGCGGAGACGUGAAGUCGGACACUUUCUGCUUCUCGUAGUGACGCUCACGCUACGUUAGCAUACUUUAUCACAGCUGAAGUGAAAAAAAUGCAAUAUUUGACUAAUACACCGAUGUUUCAGAGAGAUUUUCAUUCAAUAAUUUAUGUACUGCUUACAGCAUCUGUUUUUACAAGAAUAAAGUUCAAUAUAAGCAUAUACUAUAUAAAAACUAAUGUAGUUUUAUAAUGUUUACUAAUGUUUUUAAUCAGUAUUAUUUUGAUAAACAUGACACAAUAUAACAUCGCGACUACAUGAAAAGAGCUUUAACUGUUAUAAAAAUACAGAUUUGUGAGCAUUAGUUGAACUAAAGGCGUGACAAUAAACACGAAACACACGUGAUCGUUGUCAUGCGGUGAAUCCGGCCAAUCGUGAAACAGCUGUGUCAUCAUCAGAGCUCGUGCAGCUCCUCUUGAGAAACUGCGUUGGCUGACUCAGGUGGCUGAUCUUGAAUCGCUCUCGCGGUACUUUGAAGCCAUAUGUCACAGUCACAUGACAUCGGCGCUGUCUCAAGUCGGACAAAAAUUUCCUACCGGCAUGCACUGCUUCAAGUCAGCCGCCGAUCGGUCUGUGCGGCGCUGCAUCAAGUCGAACAAGCCUAUUGUUUUGUUCCUGUUUGCCAUGUGCUCCCUUAUCAUGUGUUUCCCUUGCCCUUAUGUGAUCAUGUCAUGUGCUCCCUUGUCAUGUGUCCUAUGUUGUCAUUGGUUCAUUGGGUUGAUUGUUCACAGGUGUCCCUUGUUAGUCAUUAGUCUCUGUGCCUUUAUGCCCUAAUGUUUGCCUUGUUCUUUGACAUGCAUUGUCCUUGUACCACUGGUUGGUGAGUUCCAUGUGUCUUGUUAAGCGAUGCCAUGCCUCUGUGUCUUUUGUUCAUGUUUUGGAUUCAUUUAAAUA